rnacentral:tRNA from 1 species
UGACUUAAUACUUUAAAAUAAAAGAUUUGAUUUGCAUUCAAAAAAUAGGUUUAUUAAACCUUUAGGUCAU